GAUGAACGCUGACAGAAUGCUUAACACAUGCAAGUCUACUUGAACUUCGGUUUGGGUGGCGGACGGGUGAGUAACGCGUAAAGAACUUGCCUCUACAGUUAGGGACAACAUUUGGAAACGAAUGCUAAUACCUGAUAUUAUGACUUUUAGGGCAUCCUAAGAUUAUGAAAGCUAUAUGUGCUGUGAGAGAGCUUUGCGUCCCCAUUAGCUAGUUGGAGAGGUAACGGCUCACCAAGGCGAUGAUGGGUAGCCGGCCUGAGAGGGUGAACGGCCAC
rnacentral:rRNA from 1 species